rnacentral:rRNA from 1 species
UCCAGACUCCUACGGGAGGCAGCAGUGGGGGAUAUUGCACAAUGGGGGAAACCCUGAUGCAGCGACGCCGCGUGGGUGAAGAAGCGCCUCGGCGCGUAAAGCCCUGUCAGCAGGGAAGAAAAUGACGGUACCUGAAGAAGAAGCCCCGGCUAACUACGUGCCAGCAGCCGCGGUAAUACGUAGGGGGCGAGCGUUAUCCGGAUUCACUGGGUGUAAAGGGAGCGUAGACGGCCAUGCAAGCCAGGGGUGAAAGCCCGGGGCCCAACCCCGGGACUGCCCUUGGAACUGCAUGGCUGGAGUGCGGGAGGGGCAGGCGGAAUUCCUGGUGUAGCGGUGAAAUGCGUAGAUAUCAGGAGGAACACCGGCGGCGAAGGCGGCCUGCUGGACCGCGACUGACGUUGAGGCUCGAAAGCGUGGGGAGCGAACAGGAUUAGAUACCCGAGUA